GUCCCUUUGAUAACAUUCGAUAAAAUUAGAAUGAUAUAGAGAAGAUUAGCAUGGCACUUGCACAAGGAUGACAUGCACAAAUCGAGAAAUUGUCCAUCAAAUU